GUCAUGAUUCUGAGAUCAGACCCUUCUGCAGGGCUUACUGUGACUGUGUCAUGAGUGUUGGUGUUGUCUAUGCUGACAGUUGGCCUGGCACAUCCUCCCAGGCCAAAUCUAAGUCUGCAUGUCUCUGGGAACCUGCAGUUACUUUCUAGCUUCCCCCGUGUAUGUAUUUAAUUGCUUGAAUGCCUGCAACCUUAAAUAUCUAGCUUCUAAGAGAGGAAAAGAAGAAACAGAAGUGUGCGUAAGUGCCCUGGCCCUUACAUUGUCUAAAAGACACCCUAACCAGAGUGAUGUUCAAUCUCAGUGGCUUGGCUGCUGUAUCCCACUGGGGCUACAAACAGCAUCGAGAGCACAGGUCUUUGAUGAUUGGGGGAUAAGUCUUUUCACCUGUAAACUGCUCUGGAAUCCAUAAUAACUGAUUGUCUAGAGGCAAGGGUAGGCAGCUUAUGCUGUGCCAACCGCUACAUUGACCAGAAUUAACCAGUUUGUUAUCCAACCCUCCCCUGGAACUCAAAGACCCUCAACUGAUUCCAGAGUUCCACACUAAUUGCAUAACACAGGGCAAGUUGAUGUUGAAGUGCUCCCUAGCAUUUCUCUUUCCACCAUCUUCCUAGAAUUUUUCCACACCUUGGCCUCUGCAACCAGUGAAGAUCAUUCUAGAGGGUCCUCUGGCCAGCUGAUAACCUCCAGCUUGGAGCUUUUUCCAAAUGAGCUUUUGUCCUGUGAUGUUGAAAGUUUUAAUACCAUUCUCUGCACAUCACCGUACCAUGAGGGAGGACUACAGUGAUAAGGGAAAGGUUGGCCACUGGAGCCGCAGCCCUCUACGGCCACCACGGGAGCGCUUUGAGCUGGGAGACAACCGUAAGCCAG